rnacentral:misc_RNA from 1 species
CCUCCGGCGGACGGCGCAAUCGUUACGAAGCGCGUCGGUCUGCAUCGUCGGACAUGCGCACUUCAGCCAGCCGAGCAUUCAGUCUCGAGGGAAGUGAGGAGAACGCGAGUGCCGAGUACCGAGUAGCAGGCCGCCUCUCCGCCGCCCGUCGCCCGCAGUCCUCCCGCGUCGGUUCUGCGCGCUCCACGCUAACCGCAUCAUGGUAAUGGACAACCGGACGAAUGAAGAGAAUAAAAAUGAACAAAAUUCAAGUAUAUUCAUUACGAACUUUCAAAAUGGGGAGACGGUAAACUACUCUAUAGUCCUUAUUAAAGGAUUGAUAACAUCUGGUGUUUGCAAUAAUAAUGAAAAAGUAAGAUGUGUAGUCUACCAGAACGGAAAUGAAAACGAAUCUCAGUGGGAUGUCUGCAAUAGAGAAUUCAAAAUAAUAGUCGAACUGAAGCGAGGAGAAAAUGUUAUUGACAUACAUUACUUAGAUCAACAACGCAAGACAGUUUUGCUGCAUUAUGAACCCAGAAGAACCAAUUUCAGAGUCACACCUCUAUACAUAAUAUGUCAAGGACAUGAUGGUUGUUUCCAAUGUCCUCCAGAUGUGGACAACUCUAUUGAAAGCGCAUGUUCUCGAAUAUCAAUCGGUGCUAAGAUUAUUCAAAGCGUCACUGCUGAAAAAUUAUUUGAAAUUGGAUUUGGAAGAAAAACUUUUCAGCUUGAGCAUGAAGUAAAUCAAAAGAAGCCCGAAUGCAUAGUAUUUAAAAGUAAUCUCAAUGUCAAUAAAGCGAGAAAAAUGAGACAGGGAGAACUGUGGACAUAUUUUGGAAGAGAAAUUAUGCUCUCAGACUUGGGAAGCAACGAAAGGAAGUAUCUAGGGUUUAUCUCUUGCACAAGGUUCAAAGGAACAGAUAUAGAUAAGCCGAUGACACAUGAAGAAGCUGUUUCAUUUACCGAAGCAUAUGCAGCUUUAGGAGGAGGAGGCUUAGCAUUGUUUGGAACUGCUUGUUUGUAUACUUGGCCAACGUCUGUGAAAGAUAUUAUACCUAAAUUUCUUGACAGUUCCCCAGUAAAUUCACGACGUUUUAUGGAUGACAGUGGUUACAGAGGUACUUUAGGGGGUUGCUUUGCGACAACACUUGGAUCUAUGUUUCAUGAACUCGGUCAUACGUUCGAUCUUGGUCAUACAAAAGAUGGAAUAAUGGGAAGAGGCUUUGACAACAUCGAUCGUGUUUUCCUCGUUGGCGAUAAAAGAUCAACUCUUGCUAAAGAUAAUAUGAACAACUACAACAAUGGCAAACCAGUUCAACAUUCUACUGUAUCUCUUCAGCGUAAUAUAAAUGUCACUAUGAAUGUUGCAGAACCUUUAAGAGUUUUAGGACCCCGAAGUAAAACCACGUUAGGGAACUUCGCUUCGAUGUCAAAGUCUGACAUUGUAAGACGAAGUCCAAAUGUUACGCCUAUAACAAGACCAUCCAGUGUUUACUCGACGAUAACAAACAGACUAUCAGAUUCCAAAAGAAAUUUGAACAGAACCAACGGCAAUGAUUCAAUUUACUGGACCAGAAAUUGUGCUGUACUUUUAUCUUAUCAUCGAUGGUUCAAUAAUGAGUAUGGAAGAGAGAGGCAAGCAAUAACGAGGUAUUUAAAAUUUGACAAGAAUAAAAUGAUGAUAAUAUCUACAGCUGGUAUCAGAAUUGUUGAAGUUCGGGAUGAAUCUAAUGGUAUGGUCUUGGAUUCAUAUGAAUUUACGAAUCUUUUACCAGAAAAACGAUUUUUAGUGCCGUUCACGUUUUCGCCUAAAACCAAAGUAUUAACAAUAGUGGUUGAAGAUGAUCUCGGAAAUGUCCUAAAGCAAACUUUUUCAUAUUAAACCAAAUAUACGUGUAUAAAACAACAACGUAGCGAACUUUGUGUGUUAAACCCGACGUGUUUCCACAUCUAUUACUUAUCAGAUUAUUUUUGUCAUGUCCUAGAAAAGAUACAAAACAAACUGUGAUUAGAAUUUAAAAACAUGUGUAAAUAUAAAUCAAGACUAAUUUAUCAAUUAAUACUAAUUAUUUGUGUAUAUGUGACGAAAUCGCCUUCAAGACUGAUUCCAUCGUGUGGUUGCUGUAUGCAAAGUGUUUCAAUUCGUAAUUUCCAAUUUUAGGCCCUAAACGUAUGAGGGGCUUAAAAAUAUUCGCCCUUACUCUAAAGAAAUUAAGGUUAAGUUUCCCGUGAUGCCGAUAAGAAUGUAAUCACUGACGAUAAACUUCGAUAUCGGCUAUGUGCUUAUCGCUUAUACCUACUACUAUAAACUGCUUCAAAUGUCGUCUUGGUAAAGCUUUUGCACCUGUAAAAUAUGAUAUGCAGGGAAAUGUUGAUAAAAUCAAAACGCUCU